rnacentral:rRNA from 1 species
CAGCAGCCGCGGGAAUACGAAGGGGGCUAGCGUUGCUCGGAAUGACUGGGCGUAAAGGGCGCGUAGGCGGCUGACACAGUCAGAUGUGAAAUUCCUGGGCUCAACCUGGGGACUGCAUUUGAGACGUGUUGGCUUGAGUGGAGAAGAGGGUCGUGGAAUUUCCAGUGUAGAGGUGAAAUUCGUAGAUAUUGGAAAGAACACCGGUGGCGAAGGCGGCGACCUGGUCUUUAACUGACGCUGAGGCGCGAAAGCGUGGGGAGCAAACAGGAUUAGAUACCCCCGUAGUCCCUGUCUCUUAUAC